rnacentral:lncRNA from 1 species
GAACUAUGAGCCAAAUAAAUCUCUCUGCUUUAUAAAGUACCUGGUCUGUAGUAUUUUACUACAGCAUUAGUAAAUGGACUAUUAGUAAAUGGACUAUGACAUUGGCAAAAACUAGAUUCUAAUCCUUGUUCUGCCAAAGGUUCUGGAAAUAAGCCUCAACUUUGCCAUGUCACUGUAACGUUUAUACUAUUGUGCUCCACAUUCUAAGGACUGCUGUUACCAACCUGUUUGCUCAGAUGCAAAGUAAAAUGCUUUAAAUUUAUGUAAAGGUUCUAAAUUGCCCAGGCUGGCCUUGAAACUGCAGUCAUCCUGCCUCAGCUGGAUGGAUAGCUGGGAUUAUAGGCAUACACCACUACGCCCACCGAAAGUCCAAGUCUUCACAAUGGCCUAGGCUGUCAGAGCUUUUGCUAAGAGGGAACACACAACCAUACUGCUGCAAGUGAAAUCUGCAGUCUGCACUAUUGGAUUGGUUUUGCACGUGGUCUGUUACUAUGUUCAAAGCAUUAAAGAAUCUGCAAGUGGAUUAUCUACAGAGCUUCUCUCUUCACAGAGCUGCAGUUCGGCCUCUUCACUUUCUCUCUCUUGCUUCUCACGAAGACCCUUUGUUUGCUGCCAGCAUCUGCCUACACUGGGUACUAACUUGACCUGGCAUGAUUCUCCCUAUCCCUAGAAGAAACAGCCCACACCUACAUGCCAGGAUGAACUAAGAUUGCUGAGCAAAGCUAGCAACCUUUCUCUGAAGUGGUGUCACAUGCAGACAG